CCUACGGGUGGCAGCAGUGAGGAAUAUUGGUCAAUGGGCGAGAGCCUGCACCAGCCAAGUCGCGUGAGGGAGUACUGCCCUAUGGGUUGUAAACCUCUUUUGUCGGGGAGCACACGCCGGACGUGUCCGGCUGUGAGAGUAUCCGAAGAAAAAGCAUCGGCUAACUCCGUGCCAGCAGCCGCGGUAAUACGGGGGAUGCGAGCGGUAUCCGGAUUUAUUGGGUUUAAAGGGUGCGCAGGCGGAUUUUUAAGUCAGCGGUAAAAUCGUGGGGCUCAACCCCAUCCAGCCGUUGAAACUGGCAGUCGCGAGUUGGAGAGAAGUAUGCGGAAUGCGCGGUGUAGCGGUGAAAUGCAUAGAUAUCGCGCAGAACUCCGAUUGCGAAGGCAGUAUGCCGGCUCCACACUGACGCUGAGGCACGAAAGCGUGGGUAUCGAACAGGAUUAGAUACCCUGGUAGUC
rnacentral:rRNA from 1 species